rnacentral:rRNA from 1 species
AUACGAAGGGUGCAAGCGUUACUCGGAAUUACUGGGCGUAAAGCGUGCGUAGGUGGUGCGUUAAGUCUGUCGUGAAAUCCCCGGGCUCAACCUGGGAAUGGCGAUGGAUACUGGCGCGCUAGAGUGAGGUAGAGGAGAGUGGAAUUCCCGGUGUAGCAGUGAAAAGCGUAGAGAUCGGGAGGAACAUCAGUUGCGAAGGCGGCUCUCUGGACCAUCACUGACACUGAGGCACGAAAGCGUGGGGAGCAAACAGGAUUAGAUACCCUGGUAGUCCACGCCCUAAACGAUGCGAACUGGACGUUGGGCUCAAUUAGGAGCUCAGUGUCGAAGCUAACGCGUUAAGUUCGCCGCCUGGGGAGUACGGUCGCAAGACUGAAACUUAAAUGAAUUGACGGGG